rnacentral:rRNA from 1 species
CGUUCCCAGGCCUUGUACACACCGCCCGUCACAUCAUGAAAGCCGGUUGUACCCGAAGUCGCCCCUCGAAAGGUGCCGAAGGUAUGGCUGGUGAUUGGGAUG